GACAGAGGUGCCGAGCGUUAGGCGGAAUCACUGGGCUUAAAGGGUGCGUAGGCGGUCGCGCAAGUCGGAUGUGAAAUCUCAGGGCUCAACCCUGAAACUGCAUUCGAUACUGCGUGGCUAGAGUGCUGGAGGGGAGACUGGAAUUUACGGUGUAGCAGUGAAAUGCGUAGAUAUCGUAAGGAAGACCAGUGGCGAAGGCGAGUCUCUGGACAGCAACUGACGCUGAGGCACGAAGGCCAGGGGAGCAAACGGG
rnacentral:rRNA from 1 species